rnacentral:rRNA from 1 species
UGCCAGCCGCCGCGGUAAUACGGAGGGUGCAAGCGUUAAUCGGAAUUACUGGGCGUAAAGGGCGCGUAGGCGGUUUGGUUAGUUGGAUGUGAAAGCCCCGGGCUUAACUCGGGAAUUGCAUUCAAUACUGCCAGGCUAGAGUGCAGUAGAGGGAAGCGGAAUUCCGGGUGUAGCGGUGAAAUGCGUAGAUAUCCGGAGGAACACCAGUGGCGAAGGCGGCUUCCUGGACUGACACUGACGCUGAGGCGCGAAAGCGUGGGGAGCAAACAGGAUUAGAUA